rnacentral:rRNA from 1 species
CCUACGGGAGGCAGCAGUGGGGGAUAUUGCACAAUGGGGGAAACCCUGAUGCAGCGACGCCGCGUGAGUGAAGAAGUAUUUCGGUAUGUAAAGCUCUAUCAGCAGGGAAGACAAUGACAUUACCUGUCCAAGAAGCCCCGGCUAACUACGUGCCAGCAGCCGCGGUAAUACGGAGGGGGCAAGCGUUAUCCGGAUUUACGGGGUGUAAAGGGAGCGUAGACGGUCAUGUAAGUCUGGAGUGAAAGCCCGGGGCCCAACCCCGGGACUGCUUUGGCAACUGGGUGACUGGAGUACAGGAGAGGCAGGCAGAAUUCCAGGUGUAGCGGUGAAAUGCGUAGAGAUCUGGAGGAACACCGGCGGCGAAGGCGGCCGGCUGGACUGAAACUGACGUUGAGGCGCGAAAGCGUGGGGAGCAAACAGGAUUAGAUACCCUAGUAGUC